CGUGGCUGGUGCAGGAUUCUCAGUCACCGGAGGGCUCGCCCAUUGCGUCACAGCGCUGCUCCGCGGUUGGCCAAUCGGUCUUGAUGUUCCCCCAAUCAAGCCAUCCUUUGUUUUUCCCUGCUGCUGCCUGUUCCCUGCUUCUGCUGGUGAAGAUUCUAUCUCACUGCCCUGCAGUGGUGCCCAGGACCCAGUGGAACAGGAAGUGGGAGAUUGAGGCUGAAUCCA